rnacentral:rRNA from 1 species
GACGAACGCUGGCGGCGUGCUUAACACAUGCAAGUCGAACGAUGAACCGGUUUCGGCCGGGGAUUAGUGGCGAACGGGUGAGUAACACGUGGGCAAUCUGCCCUGCACUCUGGGACAAGC